GUGCCAGCAGCCGCGGUAAUACGUAGGGCGCGAGCGUUAUCCGGAAUUAUUGGGCGUAAAGAGCUCGUAGGCGGUUUGUCACGUCUGCUGUGAAAGCCCGGGGCUCAACCCCGGGUGUGCAGUGGGUACGGGCAGACUAGAGUGCAGUAGGGGAGACUGGAAUUCCUGGUGUAGCGGUGAAAUGCGCAGAUAUCAGGAGGAACACCGAUGGCGAAGGCAGGUCUCUGGGCUGUUACUGACGCUGAGGAGCGAAAGCAUGGGGAGCGAACAGGAUUAGAUACCCUGGUAGUCCAUGCCGUAAACGUUGGGCACUAGGUGUGGGGGACAUUCCACGUUUUCCGCGCCGUAGCUAACGCAUUAAGUGCCCCGCCUGGGGAGUACGGCCGCAAGGCUAAAACUCAAAGGAAUUGACGGGGGCCCGCACAAGCGGCGGAGCAUGCGGAUUAAUUCGAUGCAACGCGAAGAACCUUACCAAGGCUUGACAUGGACCGGACCGCUGCAGAGAUGCAGCUUCCCUUCGGGGUCGGUUCACAGGUGGUGCAUGGUUGUCGUCAGCUCGUGUCGUGAGAUGUUGGGUUAAGUCCCGCAACGAGCGCAACCCCUAUCCUAUGUUGCCAGCACGUGAUGGUGGGGACUCAUGGGAGACUGCCGGGGUCAACUCGGAGGAAGGUGGGGACGACGUCAAAUCAUCAUGCCCCUUAUGUCUUGGGCUUCACGCAUGCUACAAUGGCCGGUACAAUGGGUUGCGAUACUGUGAGGUGGAGUCUAAUCCCUAAAAGCCGGUCGUCAGUUCGGAUCGAAGUCUGCAACUCGACUUCGUGAAGUUGGAGUCGCUAGUAAUACGCAGAUCA
rnacentral:rRNA from 1 species